GAGUUUGAUCAUGGCUCAGGAUGAACGCUAGCGGCAGGCUUAACACAUGCAAGUCGAGGGGUAGUAUAGCAAUAUAUGAGACCGGCGCACGGGUGCGUAACGCGUAUGCAAUCUACCUUUUACAGGGGAAUAGCCCAGAGAAAUUUGGAUUAAUGCCCCAUGGUAUAAUUGAUUGGCAUCAAUUAAUUAUUAAAGUUCCAACGGUAAAAGAUGAGCAUGCGUCCCAUUAGCUAGUUGGUAUGGUAACGGCAUACCAAGGCGAUGAUGGGUAGGGGUCCUGAGAGGGAGAUCCCCCACACUGGUACUGAGACACGGACCAGACUCCUACGGGAGGCAGCAGUGAGGAAUAUUGGACAAUGG
rnacentral:rRNA from 1 species